UACGUAGGAGGCGAGCGUUAUCCGGAUUUACUGGGCGUAAAGGGGGUGCAGGCGGCUUUUCAAGUCGGAUGUGAAAUCUCCCGGCUUAACUGGGAGGGGUCAUUCGAUACUGUUGGGCUAGAGGACAGCAGGGGGAGAUGGAAUUCCCGGUGUAGUGGUGACAUGCGUAGAUAUCGGGAGGAACACCAGUGGCGAAGGCGGUCUCCUGGGCUGUUUCUGACGCUGAGGCCCGAAAGCGCGGGGAGCGAACAGGAUUAGAUACCCCUGUA
rnacentral:rRNA from 1 species